GGUUCGAUUCUGGCUCAGAUUGAACGCUGGCGGAUGCUUUACACAUGCAAGUCGAACGGCAGCACUGGACUUCGGUCUGGCGGCGAGUGGCGAACGGGUGGUAAUGUAUCGGAACGCCUAGUAGCGGGGAUAACUGAUGCGAAAGGUAGCUAAUAUCACAAUACCUUCGUGUAGUUGGGACCUUCGGGCCUCGCACUAUUAGAGCGGCCGAUAUCGGAUUAGCUGGUUGUGGUAACGGCUCACCAAGGCGACGAUCCGUAGCUGGUUUGAGAGGACGACCAGCCACACUGACUGGAGAUACGGCCCAGACUCCUACGGGAGUGCGGUGGGGAAUUCGACAAUGGGGAAACUCUGAUCCAGCCAUCCUGGCGCAAGUAGGGGAUGAAGGCUCUCGUUGUAAAGCACUUUGGCAGGAAAGAAACGGCAUGGAUAAUACCCCGCAACUGAUGGUACCUGUAAUAAGCACCGGCUAACUACGUGCCAGCAGCCGCGGUAACACGUAGGGUGCAAGCGUUAAUCGGAAUUACCGGCAGAAGCGUGCAGGCGGUUCGGAAAGAAAGAUGUGGAAACCAGAGCUUAACUUUGGAACGUAUUUUAAUCACUGAGCUAGAGGAAGGAGGGGAGAAUUUGCGGAAAAAGCGUGAAAUGAUACGUGAGGAACACCGAUGGCGAAGGCAGCCUCCUGGGAUAACACUGACGCUCAUGCACGAAAGUGGCGAAACAGAUUAGGGAUACCAGUCCACGUCAAACGAUGUCAACUGGCUGCUGGGGCCUUCGGGCCUUGCAGCGCAGCUAAUGAAGUUGACCGCCCGGGAGCACGGUCGCAAGAUUAAAACUCAAAGGAAUUGACGGACCUGCACAAGCGGUGGAUGAUGUGGACGAAUCUCGAUGCAACGCGGAAAACUUUACCACCCUUGACAUGUCUGGAAUCCCGAAGAUUUGGGAGUGCUCGCAAGAGAACCGGGCACAGCGUAUGGCCGUCGUCAGUCGGGGUCGGAGAUGCUGGUUAAGUCCCGUAACGAGCGCAACCUUGGCCAUUAGUUACGCGAAAGGGCACUCUAAUGAGACUGCUGCGGACAAACCGGAGGAAGGUGGGGAUGACGUCAAGUCCUCAUGGCCUUUAGCGUAGCUUCACACGUCAUACAAUGGUCGGGACAGAGGUCGCCAACCCGCGAGGGGGAGCAAUCCCAGAAACCCGAUCGUAGUUCGGAUCGGUCUGCAGGCCGGACUGCGUGUCGGUGCGUAACGCGGGAUCAGCAUGUUGCGAGUUGCUGUCUUGAGAGUCCUAACACACCCGCCCAGAUACGGUCCAUGGGAGUGGGGUUUUACCAGGAAGAGUUAGCUUCAACCGCAUGAGGGCGAUUACCACGGUAGGAUUCAUGACUGGGUGAAGUCGUAACAAGGUAG
rnacentral:rRNA from 1 species